GAUGAAGAACGUAGCGAAAUGCGAUAAGUAAUGUGAAUUGCAGAAUUCAGUGAAUCAUCGAAUCUUUGAACGCACAUUGCGCCCCCUGGUAUUCCGGGGGGCAUGCCUGUUCGAGCGUCAUUUCACCACUCAAGCCUCGCUUGGUAUUGGGCAACGCGGUCCGCCGCGUGCCUCAAAUCGACCGGCUGGGUCUUCUGUCCCCUAAGCGUUGUGGAAACUAUUCGCUAAAGGGUGUUCGGGAGGCUACGCCGUAGAACAACCCCAUUUCUAAGGUUGACCUCGGAUCAGGUAGGAAUACCCGCUGAACUUAAGCAUAUCAAUAAGCGGAGGA
rnacentral:misc_RNA from 1 species